rnacentral:misc_RNA from 1 species
AAGUCGUAACAAGGUUUCCGUAGGUGAACCUGCGGAAGGAUCAUUACCGAGUUAGGGUUCGUCCAACGAGCCCGACCUCCCAACCCUUUGUCUAUCUUACCUUGUCGUUGCUUCGGUGGACCGGUCGCAACCAACAGGUCGCGACCGCCGGGGGCUACCCCUGGAGAGUGUCUGCCGAUGGCCCAACCACAAACUCUUGUACCUAAACCAUGUCGUCUGAAUUACUUGAUUAAAAAUCAUAAACAAAACUUUCAACAACGGAUCUCUUGGUUCUG